rnacentral:rRNA from 1 species
UACGUAGGGGGCAAGCGUUGUCCGGAUUUAUUGGGCGUAAAGCGCUCGCAGGUGGUUCGUCGCGUCGUGCGUGAAAGCCCCCGGCUCAACUGGGGAGGGUCACUCGAUACUGAUCGACUCGAAGGCAGGAGAGGGUAGUGGAAUUCCCGGUGUAGUGGUGAAAUGCGUAGAUAUCGGGAGGAACACCAGUGGCGAAGGCGACUACCUGGCCUGUUCUUGACGCUGAGGCGCGAAAGCUAGGGGAGCAAACGGG